rnacentral:rRNA from 1 species
GCAUGCGGGUGGUUCAUUAAGGCAGAUGUGAAAGACCGGGGACAGCCUCGGAACUGCAUUUGAAACUGGUGAACUAGAGUACUGUAGAGGGGGGUAGAAUUUCAGGUGUAGCGGUGAAAUGCGUAGAGAUCUGAAGGAAUACCAGUGGCGAAGGCGGCCCCCUGGACAGAUACUGACACUCAGAUGCGAAAGCGUGGGGAGCAAACAGGAUUAUAUACCCUGGUAGUCCACGCCGUAAACGAUGUCUACUUGGAGGUUGUGGCCUUGAGCCGUGGCUUUCGGAGCUAACGCGUUAAGUACACCGCCUGGCGAGGACGGACGCGAGAUUAAAACUCAAAUGAAUUGACGGGGGCCCGCACAAGCAGUGGAGCAUGUGGUUUAAUUCGAUGCAACGCGAAGAACCUUACCUACUCUUGACAUCCAGAGAAGCCAGCGGAGACGCAGGUGUGCCUUCGGGAGCUCUGAGACAGGUGCUGCAUGGCUGUCGUCAGCUCGUGUUGUGAAAUGGUGGGUUAAGUCCCGCAACGAGCGCAACCCUUAUCCUUGUUUGCC